AUUGAACGCUGGCGGCAGGCCUAACACAUGCAAGUCGAACGAGUGGCGGACGGGUGAGUAAUGUCUGGGAAACUGCCCGAUGGAGGGGGAUAACUACUGGAAACGGUAGCUAAUACCGCAUACCAUCGGAUGUGCCCAGAUGGGAUUAGCUUGUAGGUGAGGUAACGGCGCACCUAGGCGACGAUCACUAGCUGGUCUGAGAGGAUGACCAGCCACAGUGGAACUGAGACACGGGCCAGAGUCCUACGGGAGGCAGAAGUGGGGAAUAUUGGACAAUGGGCGCAAGCCUGAUGGAGCCAUGCCGCGUGUAUGAAGAAGGCCUUCGGGUUGUAAAGUACUUUCAGCGGGGAGGCGGUAUCCGCAGAAGAAGCACCGGCUAACGCCGUGCCAGCAGCCGCGGUAAUUC
rnacentral:rRNA from 1 species